rnacentral:rRNA from 1 species
GAUGACGGCCUUCGGGUUGUAAACCUCUUUUAGCAAGGAAGAAGCGAAAGUGACGGUACUUGCAGAAAAAGCGCCGGCUAACUACGUGCCAGCAGCCGCGGUAAUACGUAGGGCGCAAGCGUUAUCCGGAAUUAUUGGGCGUAAAGAGCUCGUAGGCGGUUUGUCGCGUCUGCUGUGAAAUCCCGAGGCUCAACCUCGGGCCUGCAGUGGGUACGGGCAGACUAGAGUGCGGUAGGGGAGAUUGGAAUUCCUGGUGUAGCGGUGGAAUGCGCAGAUAUCAGGAGGAACACCGAUGGCGAAGGCAGAUCUCUGGGCCGUAACUGACGCUGAGGAGCGAAAGGGUGGGGAGCAAACAGGCUUAGAUACCCUGGUAGUCCACCCCGUAAACGUUGGGAACUAGUUGUGGGGUCCAUUCCACGGAUUCCGUGACGCAGCUAACGCAUUAAGUUCCCCGCCUGGGGAGUACGGCCGCAAGGCUA